CCUGCCUCCAAGGGCCAAGCUCAACAACUCCAUCUCUUCCCACUCCUCAGUUUUACCAGAGGCAAGUAUAGCCAACCUGUGCUCCUGUUCCCAAACAAUUCCAUGGCAGCCGCUCUCCAUGAAAAGCGUUACCUCAAGCCUGUCUGGAAGAAAGCUGGGAAAGGUGGGAAGUUCUGUUUGUGAAGAUGGCAGUAGGGUCGGACGGUUCUGAUCAUUCCCCCAAAAAGGAAGGCCAACCAAGGUGAGGCGAGUUCCCCAAUGACCACACUCGGGCGAUCAACGAGACCUCAGUCUGAGGAGGGUCAGUGUGGAGCCACUCACCCACUACUCGCCUCGAACGGCAAUGGCACUGGAAGUUUGGGCACGCGGCACCAUUCGUGGGAGUCAACAAGACCCUGCCUCUCAAAUCACAAUUCACCUCACGCUCAAAGAGAUCGCAACAAAGUGUGUUUUGUCCUGAGACAGGCGAGUAACACAAGGAGAAAGACGCAAAGGUGUAUGGAUGGGAGGAGAGGCUUGACUCCCGGUGAUGGGGGGGAAGAGGCGGACUGAAGCCGUGGGAAGCAAGACGACUGACCAGAGCAACGGCCCCCUCUCUCCCCUUACUCAACUGACCAUGACCGCCAAAGCCACUGAGGACCAAGUCCCCGUGGAAGUCAUAGCUCUUCUGAGCACCAGGGUGGGUUUCAUAAAAGAGAUCGGUUGCCACAGCAGAGAGAGAUCUGCAGGCUCUUCCAAAUUAGAGCAGGAAGUUAAUUAAACCAGGAGAAAAGCGAGAGAUGGGGAGAUGAUGAAAGCCCCAGGAUAUUUCCUUCCUUCAAGGGGAGGGGGAGGAGGGAAAGGGGCAGGGCAGAGCAAGAGGUCACCCCCCUCGCAACCUGCCCCUCUCCUCCCUUUGCCCCUCAACCCGCCUCCUCCCACCCCCUACUUCUCACUCCUUCUUGGAAUCCUUUGGCCUCCUUUUUCGGACACGUAGGCCCCCCCCCCAAAACCAGCUUUGUGCAAAGCUCUCCCUCAAGACAUACGUGCUGCUGACUCAUCCUCCUGGCUCGUAACAAAGCUUAAAACUUUCCCUUCCCCAGUUAUCAUCUUCUCUUGCUCUUUCUACUUCAUCUUGCUUCGUGUUAUGAAUUAUGUUCAGUACUUCUGGUACUCCAGAAAGACCCUUUAUCAAAUCCGUACAAAAGAGAAUUCAUGAGUGGUUUUGAUGGACCAGGAGUCUCUUGAGAUGACAAAGAGCUGCCCCAGCCUGCAGGCAGUUGGAGCUUGAAUAAACGCACACAGGCACGUGCAGGAGAAGGGCGGGGGGCAUGCCCCUCGGUAGAGACCUGACCCCAAAUCCCUUGGAUCCAGUAACUAUAAUGCACUGUAAGGACAUUCCUUCUCCCUCACUCGUCUGCCCUGCACCAGGCCACACAAAGCCAGGGCACGCAGGGGGCCCAGGUACGAUGAGGUCAGGCGGAAACCCACCUUUCCAGGAGGAUGUAAAACAAAACCGCCACUCCCCAAGUAAUUUUUAUAGAAACAGCAGAUUUCUAGAUGAAGCAAAAAAGAAAGGAAGCAUGGAAACAUGAGUCCUUCCCCAGGAGGCUCCAUCUUUAGCCGAAUGAUUGCGGCGCACCUCCACCUGGAAAGGUGGGUUUCCACCUGACCUCAAGGAAACAGCUGAAAAGGGUCAUGGUAUUACGACAUAUUGUGCACAAAGUAAAGAGAAAGAUGCUAAGAAAGAGAAAGAUGUCGUCUGCAGCGCUAGGCGGGCGCCUUUGUUUUAUUUAUAAAUCAUAAAUCUUUAAGCCCACUGGAAGUGGCCUCCCAAGUGCCUGGGACAGAAAGUUCUCCAAGACCCUCCAGCAAAGGGGCUGUGUGCAAUUGUCAGGAGCCGCAGCAAAGCUGCCUUAACCUCCCGGGGGGAGGGAAACAGCCCUGUUCUGUUUCUUUGGCCCCUCUCAUCUCCUCUGCCCAACCUCCUGUCUCUCUCCCUCCUCACCGCCCACUUCCCCACUUGCUAAAGGCACCAGAGAUCCAGUUUAAAUAACCUACUUCGCAGUGUAUUUAGCUUUAAAUGGAAGACAAACGCAAUAAAUAACUUGGGCACAAAAGAGAGGCGCGCGCCCUCCCCGUCACUCCAUCACACGCUCAGGCACAAACUAAACGCGGGCGAUUACACUCCGCCUUAACCCUUCCAGGGCGGGCAAGUGAGCCCACAGUGCUUCCAGCAGCUCAGGGCGGCAGGCAAAGCUGGUGUUCCGGGGUGGAUGAAGGUCCUAGAGGCUAGACCCAAACCGCCGGCUCAACAAGGCAAUGGAGUCUCUAACCCCAGGAGGACCGGAGCCAUCGGUGCCCGCCUCUUUACGGAGCAGCAUCCCUAUGACUCGGCCAGCCCCGGGUGCCUCUGCUACUCAGGCGGCAUGCUCCCCGAGGGCCCCGGGAAGGGCUUGUCCGUGCAGCCUGCUAAGGAAGAGGAACCCGUCACAGAGCGAGGAGGGUGGCAGACCUGAGGAUGGUGAGGAAGGUGAAGAGAGUCCUGAGUGAAAACCCCAGGAGAAAGGUGUGCCAGCCUCAGUGACUACCCUAGCCCCACCUGUGGUUAGGGGGCCGGUCCUACCAAGACCUGGAAAGUACCCACGACUGGUGGCGAAGGAGGUGUGAUCGCCUGGCUGGGCAUGUGCCUGCUGCCCUUGGGUCCUGCCUCUCUAUCCAAAUCAUUCAGGGCAGGCUCUCUGGUUCAAGGGGACGGUCAUAACUAGCG
rnacentral:lncRNA from 1 species